GCCAGCAUGAUGUAGUGGUUUGAGUGUUAGACUACGACUCUGGAGGCCAGGGUUCAAAUUCCCGCUCAGCCA